GCUCGCUCCAAAUGUAUCCAGACCUUGUCUGUCGUCAGUGCAUGCCAAUCCACCACGGGGUGUAAAUGGACUGCCCUGUAGUAGGUCAGAAUUGAUGGGAGACCCACUCCACCCUGUGCCUUUGGCUGCUGCAGUUGAGUUCUCCUGAGUGCCAAACGAAUCUGGAGAUCGCAGUGUCAAUGGUGCGGAAGAACAGUGGCGGAAAUUUUAUCGGGAGCGUCUGGAAGAGGU